CACUUUAAAAAUCCAAGAGUAUUAAAAAACAUUUAUCAAAAGGGGAUCUAUGCCACAGAUGUUGCUUAAAAGACCAAUACUGCUACAGAAACAGGUGGGAGGUGAAAA